rnacentral:lncRNA from 1 species
AAAAGGAAGGGAAAGAGGAAGGGAAAGAGGAAGGAAGGAAGGAAGGAAGGGCAAUUGGUACUAAAUUCUUGUAGUGCCCAGGCACUCUUCCCCUAGUGGGCAGGGCAGAGAGACUGUGAAAGGUGGAGAUGAAGGAGAGCCAUCAUUUCACUCUUGAGAAAGGACGGAGCAGGCUGUGUGGAAGAGAUGAGAUCUGGGAUAAAUUGGAAAAGGUAUCAAAAAAUUAGGAGGGAAGAAAUAUUUUCAGCAAGUCUGCUACCACACUCCUCAAAUUCAACUAAGAGUGGUGAUUUAAUGUCAGAAAAGCUCCGCAUCCAGCCCUAUUAGCAGGGGCAGAAACAGACGCCAGGAGACACUGCCCACCUCCUGGGAAUCGGAAUCAGCCUUCACAGCACCAGGAGCCUGGGGUGGGCUGCUGUUUCUGUAAGGUUUUAAAAAGUCAGAGAGCACAGAGUUCUUCCGGAGCCUAUUCUGACUCCUCCUGAGUUUUGUUCACGUGAGAUAAUAUCCUCCUGGGAAAAAAUCUUGAUGGAAAGCCAAGGCCCCCCUGCUGGCUGCAAGAAACCGGAAUUCGGCCUUUUCGGCGCGCACCCGGACACGGCGCUGGGAUGAAGGCGCCCAGUUCAUGCCCAGCCAGGGCCUGCAGGGACAACGGGAUGGUCACAGGACGGCUGCCUCAGCUCCAAACAGCAACAUCUGAAGGAGAAAGGUGUCAGUUCCCAAGGGAGAAAUGCUUCCACCAGGAGACACAGCAGUGAUUCCAUUGAACUGAAAGUGAGGCCUGCCUUGGACUCCCUGUGCCACAGAACCAGCAUGCGAAGAUGGGGGUGACUGUACCGGCUGGGGCGACUCUCAUGUACAGGCCUCCCUCAUUUCUGCUGCAGGACAUCCAGGAUAAGCCUGGACAUCACCCAGACAUUCAUCUUCUGGGGAAAGGGAGCAUGUUUUCAGUUGCGUGCAGCAUACUUGUGUUUCGGGCAGCAGUGUGACUUUGCUGCUGUCUUGAUCUGGAGACGAGUAUAAGACUCAGGCAAUGUGGAGGGUGGCAGGUCCAAGAGUAGACUGAGACAGUCAGGCUUGGGAGUCCCCUGGCCAGGCCACCAUGCUCGGUUACGCGGUGCUGCCGUGAACGUAUUCUGUAAAUGAGACGAACACCCCCCAUUACCCUGUCGUAGAGGAGAUCAUCCUGCAUAACCUCGUCGGGGUGGGGAGGCUGACUGGUCAGCAGAAAGGCCUGGAGAGGGGAGCCGAGGUCCCCCUGCAGAGGAGGAAACUCCUGGGAAGGGCCUGAUCCUGCCUCAGUUUCCAGCUGCCCAGAAAAUCAGACUUACCCACUAGGCCCCAAAACUGUGCAGGACGGGUUCUUCACACUCCCCUCCCCUCUCUCUGUCUCCCUUGAGAUAUAUGUGGAUAUAGACUUGGUUUUAUUUCCCUGGGGAAAUCUGAUCGAUACAGGUACUACAUUCGGCGUCCAGUCCAUGACUCAGGAAGUCAAUUCUCCGUCCCUUCGCUCUCCUUCCAUCCGAGGCCAAACGCAUUCACUUCACGCUCUUGGAAUGUUUUCAUGUAAAAAGAGUGCCAUAUCAGGAUUAAUAGUUUUAUGUAUAUAAACUAGUAAUAUAUAGAGAAAAUAACACUUCAGGAUCAGAUACAGUUGCCUGAACUCUGUGGCUAAGUUAAGCCCCACACUGUAUGGCAUCUGCCAUGCCUCACACCACAGGCCACGUUGGACCCCAGUGCUUUGGUAUAGGAGGAUGUCCUCUGCCUCCACAGUGAGCCAUGGCCCCACCCUAGGUUUCAGAGCAGAGAAAUCGCCCUGACAACUAAGCAGCUUCUGACACCCAAUUCUGUGGAAGAUCCAAUCACAGGGAUCCUGCCAAUUGAGGAAUGAUGGGAAGUCUCUGCUCCAGGUUACUCGCGCCUGGUACAAAACAGAUGCUCAGUAGAUGGUGGCCAUCACACUAGCAGCAGGUGCUGUAGGGCACCAACACCUCAGAGACAGGGGAUGGAAAACAUAUUAUGUAUUAAGAGCUCACAGAUUUUGCAAGACUCUCCUUACCAAAUUUCUACUGAAACUGUCAGCAUGACUGUUUUAGACCAUUUGUGCUGCUAUAACCAAAUACUAUAGACUGGGUAAUUUAUACACAGUAGAAACUUAUUGUCUUAGCUCUGGAGGCUGGGAAGUCCAAGAUCAAGACACCAGCAGGUUCCAAGUCUGUGAGGACAUGCUUUUGUGUUUCCAAGAUGGUGCCUUCAAUGCUGUGUCCUCACAUGACCAAAGGGCUGGGUUGGUGGUCCCUCGAAGUUGUCUGUUAAAUUUAUUUAUUUAUAGCAUCGUGGAGUCACCAAGAGAGUGAGGCUGGAGCUCCACCAUCUCUGUGGUUUUGUCGUCACGGGGUACAGCUUUCUCACAGACUGGAUCAAAGACUCACCACACUUUAAAAAAAAAAGAGGGAAAGGCAAAAAUCAGGCAAAAAUUUCAGAUACGUUGACACCUGGGGGCUGGAGCAGCUCCACCUACAUCCUCCACAGCUGGUGGCCUCAGCUUCUCCUGACAAAUGCUUCAUUCACUCUAGUGGCUGUGGCCCCCCAGGGCUGCCACAUGCCUGAAGCUGAGCCAUGGAGAGCCCGUCUCUGCAGCAGAACCCGCAGCAGUGGGCGCAGGGGAGCCAGUGACACUCAGACCUGGGGCCACGCAGGAAUGGGCCAAGCUAGCUCCCUCCAGCCCUUUUAUAAAGUUACUAGUCCCAUUCAUGAGGGCAGAACCCGCAGGGCCUACCACCUCCUAAAGGCCCCACCUCUUACUACUGCCGCGCUGGGGAUGAAGUUUCAAUGUGAAUUUUGGAGGAGACACAAACAUUCAAACCAUAACAGCAGCUUAGAAAGAAAUACUACAACUGGACCUCCGUGCUCAAGAACCCAAGGCGCUUCUCAUAAGUAUUGUCAUAAUAAUGUCCAAUACUUGUGUAUCUCAUAAUGGUUUACAAAACCUUUUCACAUAGUCUCACUUAAUUUUCACAAAUACCUAAAAUAGAAAAUUACACUCCAAUUGAUUAUAUUGUUAUCCAUUUCUGUGGGUCAGGAACAGGGAUGGGGUACAGCACAGAUGGCUCCACCCUGCUCCCUGAAGUCUGGGCUUCAGCAGGACGACAGGAAGCUUGGGGGCUGGACCCCCCCGAAGGCUCAUCCACCCACAGGCCUUGCGGGGGGUGAUAGCUGCCAGCUAGGACUG